ACCGCCAGGUUUUCUUUGUCGGGCGCGGUGUAGUUUCCCCUUUUCAUCUGGGAGCAGAGAGCGAGAAGGAGGAACAGGCGCUCGUGCAGCGGAGUAGAGGACGCGAUUUUGUCUGUUCAUGUCGAUUCCGAGUUUCCCCACCGCUCGAGCUUGAUUUCCCCUCCCUUUCUCUUCGAUCCACGGUUGCCGCGGUGCUUUGUGGUCCAGGAAAGGGAAAAGGAGCGUGGGCGACAGGUUCAAGAGGGUUUUGUGAUAGUUGCAUGGUUUUGUUUUGGUUAAGUUAGAACUGGGUCAGAUUUUUAGCUGCCCGAUCUGUUUUUUUAGAAAUGCAAACAUAAAAUUGUUGAUGGUAUUGGGAUAUACAGGUGUCAACACUUAUUUAUGAUCUGCCCAUUACUGUCUCCCCCGUGUGUGUCGUUUCCUUUUCCUUUUCUUCCUUUUGACACUUUCCUCAUUUCAUUUGGGUGGUACGUACUAUUUCGAAAGGGCAGAGGGGCAGAGGAGGUGCUCGAGCGGCGGAGGAGUCGAGGCGAUUCCAUCGGGUUCCUGGCGUUUCCGAGAUCCCUCUCUACUGGAGCUUGUUUCCUCUUCGAUUCCCUGCCUUCCUGGUUAGUUCUUCUUGUCUCUCUAUCUUCUCGCGUGCGAUUUGCCAUGGUUGUGGUCGUGUAACUUCCAGAUCUAGGUCUGGGGAUUGUUUGUACUAGUGUGUUUGUGGGUUUGUGUUGGAGAUUUUGUUGCUGUUUGAGUAUUUAGCGGUUGGUUCUGCUUCGUGGCUCGUGUAGUUUCAUGUGGAUCCCAUAUGCUCACGUCAGUUGUUAAUAUUUGUGGAUCCCGUGUGCUCGCGCUGCUAGGUUUUGGGUGUUCUCGUUUUGAUCCUCUCGUUGUAACCGUGGUUUGGUUACUCAUUUAUAAAUUUUUUCGAUUGAUGUGUUGGUCCUCUGGUAGGGUUAGAGUUUGUGUUUUUUCCCGAGAUAGGCGUGUCUCUGUGUUGAGUCUUCUUGCACAUCCCCUGCAGUUGCAGCUACCAUCUGGUAGGGUCAGGUUUUAGGUAGCAGUGCUAAUUUGGGGGUUAUAAUUGUUUAGACCUAGGCGUGCACUAUAAUUGUCUAGCUUUGCUUUGUAAUUCAUGCCUUUUGACUAUAGUAGCUUUACUCUAUAAUUUUCCUCAGUUUUGCACUGUACUCUGCAGUAACCAUGGCAAUUAUAGUGUAGUCAUUCUGUACUUUUCAUUGUAAUUUCACCGAAAGUAGUCUGUAAGUAAGUACACUGUAAUUUCCCUCAAUGUACUCCGUAAUCCAUGGUAAUUACGCUGUAAUUUCCCUCAAUGUGCACUGUAAUAUCCAUGGCAAUUACACUCUAAUUUCCCUCUAUGUACACUGUAAUUUCCAUAUAGUAUUUACACUGUAAUUUCCCUGAAUGCACACUGAAUGCACACUGUAAUAUGCAUGGUAUUUACACUGUGAUUUCCCUAUAGUAUUUACACUUUUUUUGACAGAAAUAUAGUAUUUACACUGUAAUUUCCCUCAAUGUACAAUGUAAUAUGCAUGGUAUUUUCACUAUAAUAUGCCAGUGUAAUUUCCCUAAAGUAAACUGUAUAAUUGCUUUGUAAUUCAUGUGCUUUUUGCACUGUAAUCUCCCAUUUUCACUGUAAUUCCUGUGCUUUCUUGAUUGUAUGCCUUGAUUACUCUGUAAUUUAUGUCAGGUUUGCACUGUAAUUUCUUAUGUUUUUAGUGUAAUUUGCAUUAGUUUACACUGUAAUGUGCCCUAUUUGCAUUAGUUUUACUUGCAUUGUAACCCCCCCCCCCCCCCCUGUUUGCUCUGUAAUUUCCUCUGUAUAUACCCAAGAGUUUAAUUAUAAUUUUGACUG